rnacentral:rRNA from 1 species
GUCUGGCCUGCUCACUGAAUAUUUUAAAGAGCCGCGGUAUUUUGACCGUGCAAAGGUAGCAUAAUCAUUAGUCUCUUAAUUAGAGGCUGGAAUGAAUGGCUUGACGAGAAAUCAACUGUCUCUUAAUAAAUUUUAAAAUUUAACUUUUGAGUCAAAAGGCUUAAAUUUUUCUUUAGGACGAGAAGACCCUAUAGAGCUUGAUAUUUUAUUUAUAUAUAAUUUUAAGAUAGUCUUUUUAUAUUUAAUGAUAAUGUUUUGUUGGGGUGACAUGAAGAAUUAAUAAACUCUUCAUUAUUAAAUCAUUAAUUUAUGUUAAUUUUGAUCCAUAAUUUAUGAUCAUAAGAUUAAGUUACCUUAGGGAUAACAGCGUAAUUGUUUUUGAGAGCUCAUAUCGACAAAGCAGAUUGCGACCUCGAUGUUGGAUUAAGAAAAGUUUUGGGUGCAGUAGCCCAAUGAUUAGGUCUGUUCGACCUUUAAAUUCUUACG